rnacentral:rRNA from 1 species
GACGAACGCUGGCGGCGUGCUUAACACAUGCAAGUCGAACGGAAAGGCCCUGCUUUUGUGGGGUGCUCGAGUGGCGAACGGGUGAGUAACACGUGAGUAACCUGCCCUUGACUUUGGGAUAACUUCAGGAAACUGGGGCUAAUAUCGGAUAGGAGCUCCUGCUGCAUGGUGGGGGUUGGAAAGUUUCGGCGGUUGGGGAUGGACUCGCGGCUUAUUAGCUUGUUGGUGGGGUAGUGGCUUACCAAGGCUUUGACGGGUAGCCGGCCUGAGAGGGUGACCGGCCACAUUGGGACUGAGAUACGGCCCAGACUCCUACGGGAGGCAGCAGUGGGGAAUAUUGCACAAUGGGCGGAAGCCUGAUGCAGCAACGCCGCGUGCGGGAUGACGGCCUUCGGGUUGUAAACCGCUUUCGCCUGUGACGAAGCGUGAGUGACGGUAAUGGGUAAAGAAGCACCGGCUAACUACGUG